GCGACAUUAGCUCAGUUGGUAGAGCGAUACCUUACCAAGGUAUAGGUCAUCGGUUCGAACCCGAUAUGUCGCUCCA
rnacentral:tRNA from 1 species